rnacentral:rRNA from 1 species
UACGGAGGGUGCAAGCGUUAUCCGGAUUUACUGGGUUUAAAGGGUGCGUAGGUGGGUUGGUGAGUCAGUGGUGAAAUACUUUCGCUUAACGAAGGAACUGCCAUUGAUACUACCAGCCUUGAAUACAGUGGAGGUGGGCGGAAUGCGUCAUGUAGCGGUGAAAUGCUUAGAUAUGACGCAGAAAACCAAUUGCGAAGGCAGCUUGCUACGCUGUUAUUGACACUGAGGCACGAAAGCGUGGGGAUCAAACAGG